ACAUGCUGACUCGGAGAGUUCCAUCGUGGUUACGAUUUCCCUGUUAACAGGUAAAUUAUCAUGCGCGAAGUCUUUAUCCACCGAGAAUGAAAUUGAAGUGAAACAUGAAAAGCUUGUUGACAUUGCGACUUCAGUUGGACCAACUGCCAAUGCAUUUUAAGGGAAAAAGCCUUCGUGUACUUUAAGUAUUCGAGCCUUACCUACUCGGAGAAAUGUUUUGCAGCUUAUAACCGAGGACACUCCAAGACAUGGUUUCAAAGCAUGGAAACAGACGACGUGUCGGUGAGAGAGCAACUAUUCCACGACCGAGUCCGAGAAAUCAUUAUUUGCGUGCUACUUUUCAGUUGCCUGUACAUCUUGUCCCACUUCAUUCUCACUCACUUCAAGAAGAAUGCUGAGUUUGUCACUGAUGACACUGAGGAUGCCAUUGUCAACAGAAUUGCGCUGUGGCUUUGUACGUUCACACUCUCAGUGGCAAUGUGUGCAGUGCUGCUCUUGCCCAUCUCCAUCCUGUCCAAUGAAGUUCUGCUUACAUUUCCACAGAGUUACUACAUGCAGUGGCUCAAUGGAUCACUCAUCCGCGGCUUGUGGAACCUAGUCUUCUUAUUUUCAAACCUCUCUCUGGUCUUCCUCAUGCCAUUUGCCUAUUUUUUCACUGAAUCGGAAGGGUUUGCUGGGUCUAAAAAGGGUGUUAUGGCACGGGUGUAUGAGACUGCUGUGAUGCUGCUGCUUCUCAGUUUGUUGAUACUGGGCAUUGUAUGGGUGGCAUCAGCUCUCCUCCAUCACAACACUGCCCGUGAAAGUUUUUAUGACCUGUGGGAAUAUUACCUGCCUCAUCUCUACUCUGGAAUCUCACUCUUUGGAGUUCUACUGCUUUUGGUGUGUACACCCUUUGGGCUGUCACGUAUGUUUAGUGUCACUGGGAGCUUAUUGGUCAAACCUCGGUUGUUGGAGAAUGUAGAAGAUUCAGUGGACUGUGCAACAUUUGAAGAGGCCUCUCUCUACAGGAAGCUGAACAGUAACACCUCCUGCUGGAUCAGUGUCACUGUAGAGGCAAUCAACAAGCAAUUUUUGAGUGUACAGGCCAAACGCAUUGCUUUAGAAUUGCGGAAGAGAGCAUCUCCAUGGCAGCGCAACCUGGGAUACCCACUUGCUAUGCUGCUGCUUUUAGCUUUAACUGUGGUGUGUGUGCUGAUGGUGUGUUUCCAUGUACUUGAACUCCUUUUUGAUGAGUCUGCUAUGCCUAGAGGAAUGGAGGACCCUCGCCUGGGGCUUGCUUCUUUCUCCAUGUUUGGUUCUUUGGGAGCUGCAGUGCAGGUGGUCAUUAUCCUGUAUCUCAUGGUCUCCUCUGUCGUCGGCUUCUACAGCUCUCCGCUCUUCACUGGUUUACUGCCGCAUGCACAGGACACCACCCUCACACAGAUUAUAGGGAACUGUGUGUCACUUCUAAUACUUAGUUCAGCUCUGCCUGUCUUCUCUCGCACAUUGGGAAUCACAAGGUUUGACCUUCUUGGAGACUUUGGACGGUACAACUGGCUCGGCAAUUUCCACAUUGUUUUCCUGUACAACGUGCUGUUUGCUGGGCUCACCUCCGCCUGCCUCAUUAACACAGUCACAUGGGCCUUACAAAGAGAACUCAUUCGUGCCUUUGGUCUCCACCGACUGCCUUUGACUGUGUCUCGAUCUACGAUCCCCCUCAAACUUCUCCUGGCCAGUGGGCUGACAAGAAUUCAGUGAAGAGCGACCAUCGAUCGCUGUGUCUUUCUCCUGUUGGACCAGAACUAUGUGUUUAGUACAUCAUAGGUGAAUAUUCACCACAGCUGUGCUCUCACAGGUUGGCUGAAAGGAGAUAUUUCAGAGGAUGACAUCACACCCAUGACAGUGUUUCCUUUUCCUGGUGGUGGAAUGAGAGUGUUUUUCUCUCCUGGUGGGCCCCAACGCUUUCCCCUUGUAUACCACUAUUUUUAGUGUCAUCCAGCGAAUGUACUUGGGGGUGCCUACUGUACUGCUGUAUGGAGCCAUUUGCAGGACGUCCAGUCUGAUGUGUGAUAGGGUUUGUCUUCUAACUGAAGAAACAUUUUGAGGAAAGGGAUUAAAGUGGACCAGCACUGAUCUUGUUAGUUUAUAUACUGUAUGGGAAUUAUAGAUUAUAUCAAAUGGGAAUACGUUUUAAAAGAAAACCACAUUUUGAUAUGUGUCUUUGCAGAGUUCAGGUUUUAAAAUGUAUGAAAAAAAAAGUGUCAUGUAUCCUUGAUGGCUGAUGCUGGUUUCAAGCUUAUGGCCAAGUUAACUGUGAAUGUUUUGGGUUUUCCCUGUAUUUGUUAUUCCAUAUGUGAAUCUUUAAUGUGCAAUAUGGUAUUAUGUAAAGUGAACACCUUUACACAAAUCUAACUUAAUUUGUUCAGAUGACCAAAUGAGGCAGGUCUGGUUCAGUGGUGUCUGUACUGAUUAAUGGGAAAGUUAAUGAUGUUAAGUAUAAUAAUUUUUGGGUGGACUAUCUCUAUAAGAACACCCAGAUUGGUAAGUAAGGUCAAUGUUUGGCUAGUUUGGACAUUUUUAGGUUAAGCAGCAUAGAGGGACAAUCAACACGGACACUAGGGUGCUGUGAUUUAAGAUAAACGGGUCUUUCUAAAUUCGACAAUCACUCAUUAUUGUUUUUUAUAUGGUGCAGUAUUAUUUAUGGUGUACACAUUCAGUUUGCUGAUCACUUUUAUAUGUAAGAUUCUAUUUAUAUACAAAUCUCUUUCAGGUGGUGGCCAGUAGGAGACAGUAUGUCAAAAUGUAUUAUGUAUUAGCGCUCUAAACCUCAGUGUUUUGGGAUCUUUCUUAAUUAAUUUUUCUCUCAAGUCCAAGCAUACAUUGUAGCUUUCUCAUUUUAAAACAUUAUAAUUUUAUAAAUCAAAAUUAUAUUUUCAUUGCGUAUCUUUUACUGUCCUAUAGCUAUAUUAAAGGGAUAGUCCACGAAAAAUGAAAAUAGUCAUAAUUUACUCACCCUAAUAUUGCUCCUGGCCAAUUUGACUUUCUUUUGUGUCAGUCACCAUCCACUUUCAUGGUACUGGAAAAACGAGAUGCAAUGAAAGUAAAUGGUGAUUGAGCUGUCUCGUUUUGUGUUGCACAGAUGAAAGUACAUCAUUCAGGUUUGGUUCUAAAAGAGGAUGAGUAAAUGAUGACAGAAUUUACAUUUUGGGCUGAACUAUCCCUUUAAGACCAAUCUGGGUAAGUGUUUUAAAAAAAAUAAAUAAUAAUUUUUAACUUUAAGGAUGGUAAUGCAAAAGAUUGAUUGUUGAGCUCUGACAGGCUAUAUGUCCUGCAUUAAUGAAUCGUAUGAGGAUCACUUUUCCAUUAUUAAUGGCAAAACGUUUUUAUAGAAACAAAGAAAAUGCAGUGAACACAAUUUAUUUUUUUAAAGAAACUGCUGAUAUUGUAAGAGUUUGAAUGUAUUUUCAAAUUCAGUUAAAUCACUUCAAGAAAAGUCAGCAGUUGUGACGAACUGUAGCAUUUUGUGAACCAAGAACAAUAAAUGUAUUCUCACCUGUUUUGUAACCAAUGUGUCAUUUGUAAGAGUAAAUAUUGUUCUUAGUAUGGGGCAAGUGAUAAAGAAACUAGUUUUUGACUAAAUCGUCCUAUGACCAUUAAAGAGAGGUCAGCAUACAUUGCGUGCCAUUUGAGCACCUGACCACUGCUUUUAUGCUGCCGAUGUAGUUAUGUUUAGCUUUGGUGUUAGUGUGCUUGUCUGUCCAUACAUCUUCCCCAGCUGUCUCUCUAACUGUAGCUGAUCAGCUUAGCUUUAAUCAGGGUCUUUAUUUUGCCCCGGGUCUGUCAGCAGGCCUGUAGAAAUGCCGCCGGUGACCCAUCACGUGCUUUCCCUGCAUGGAUGCCUGUGGCAGAUAAAACCCCUACAUCAUCAGUAGACCCAACACACACACACCUCUAUAUAGUCCAUCCGUUUUCCUUGUUGAGUGUUCAUUUCCUUUUAAUUUUUCUUAGAGCAGAAAAAUAAUUCACUCUAAUUAGGAUUUGUCUGUCUUUAUUUUUGUUUUCUCUCCAUUAUUGCAAUUUUGUAAAAUUUUGUUGGAUGUCUUGAUGAAUCAAAAAUUUGGGGAUUUGUUUGGUUGAAUUUCCUCUGUUAAACCUCUUUAUGAAAAAGCUUUUAACAAAAUACCAAAAGUCCUUGUGUGAGUUUUGACAUUGCUUGUGUAGAUUAUUACAGUUAUGACCUCUAUCAAUAAGUAAAAAUUGAAACUGAAUUAAUACC